GUUGUCAUAACCUUUAAUUAACAGUUGGCAAACCUAUUUUUUUUUUUCAACUUUAACCUACCACAGCACUUAGAGAAAAACAACAACUGUAAUAUAAACAACGCAUAAGCACACUUAAUAAUAAAUUAAACAAAACCCUUUACCCCCUUCCUCCCCUCAUAAAACAAUAACAACAAACACAACAUGUAACCCAACCGGCAUUAAAGCAACAAGAAAUUGUAAACAAAACAAAUAGAAAAGAAACCUCCAAAAACAAGUUUAAAUUCAUUCUUCAUCCUAUCUCUCUCUCAUUCACUCCUAAUUAAUUGUAACUUUUUUAAGUUCACCAUCCUAAUCAUAAACACAAUACACUAAAAACAAAAUGGUGAAAUAUCAUGUUGAAAUUGUUAAAACUGAGAAUGGCAAGGGAAAACCAACAGCCGGUCUUACAACGGCCUUGGUAGCGGAAAACGGAAAUGAUAAUGCGGAUGCUAAUGGUCGAGAAAAUGGCACAACGGCAUUUACUCAUUAUUACAUUUGGCUUAAUGUAAACAACAGUUAUUUACCAAAGGUACCUAAGCAUGCUUUUGCUUUUGUUUUGGUUUUUGUUAUUGUCGUUGAUGUCAACAUAUGGGUCACCAGCAGCAACAAUGUGUGUUUUUAUUUUAUUUUUGUUUUUCUCAUUUUUGUUGUGAUGGUGUUGCUGAUACACAUAGUAUUUCGCAUGUAUUUAACGUAAUGUUGUUGACACUCACAGACGUAUAGAAAGAAACGCCUGUUGGACAUGAGUGUGUAUGAUAAAUUUACUUUAGUUUGGACGGCGACGUCCUAACGAGUAGAUCGUGGCGCUCGCAACAAAAGAAAAGCUAAAAUUGCGGAAAAAAUAUUAAACACGGGUUUGUAGGCAUCAGAACAAAAAAAAAAAACUAAUAAAAAUAUAUAAAAAAAAAUUCUUUUAAAAAUAAAAAAACAACAACAUCGUAAAAAGUGACAAACAUCUUAGAGCAGCAGCUGAGUGUGAGUGUAUGCGGCUAAAAUAGUAUUUGCAGUUAAAAGUUUUUCUGGCCAAAUUGUAAGUUUUUUUCUAUAAUUUUUCUUUUUAAAUUUAAUUUGCACUUAAUAUAAAGUAUACAAGAAUAUAAAAACACCAUUUCCUAGAGAUUUAUAGGAAAUCUAUAGACCAGUCUAUAGAUUGAUCUAUAGACUGGUCUAAAGAUUUAUCUAUAGAACAG